UGCAAGUCAUUUCCCUUCAAAAAGCAUUAAAUCUUUUGCCUUUUACUGAAGAUUUCCGUGGAGGGGAACAACUUACAUGCAACAAUCUCAUAUAUAAAAUUAUUUACAGGGAAAAAAA